AGUUACAUCAACUUAUUUUGAAUACAUCACUUGGGUGAGUUGCAGAGGCUAGCCUUUAUCCCAAGUGGUGCUCAAAUAACAUCAUCAAGCCAUUCUAUCAGUAUUUUGUAGAAACAGCAGCAAAAAAAUGUGAGAAAAAUUGCAAACUGUCCACUCUGACUAGUCAGGGCCAGUUACUAUGUUGACAGCCGUUCUUAUUCAAGAUAAACUAUAUUGGAUUUAGAGAUGAGGCCAAUUUUUAAAAAAUAUAUCCAAUUUUCAGCAACUAUUCUGAGUGCCUAUUCUAUGUUAGGCAUCAUGAGGAUUAAUUAUAGAAACAUGAGCUGAAUCUUCAGUCCACACUUUGAUGAUGGAGGAAACAAUGGAGGACCUAUAAGAAACCAAAAGGCUAUUCUACGGUGGACUUAGACCUGACAAAAGUGACAGCUUUAGAGGAGGGACACGUUUGUCCAUUGGCCCAGUCCCCACCUGGCUCUCUUCAUUUUUUCAUAUUUCCUGCCUGACCUUGGAGCCAUUUGAUUCAUGACAUAUCCAUUAUCAUGUUCACAUGAGUAAAAAGUAAAAAGUCCUGGAAAAGCAUGGGAAAACCUGGAAUCUAAUCCUGCCUCUGGCAUUUACCAAGAUGGGGUUUGAGAUCAACUACUUCAUCUCUCUGAGCCUCAUUUUCUCCCUUUAUAAGAAAUGGAAGACUUAAAACCAGAUGCCUACUUGAGCAAAUACUUCAGAGAAGAUCUUCAUUUAGAGGAUAAUCAGCAAAAAAAGGUUUGUGUCUAUGACUUCUAUCAAUUUUCAGAGGGGGAGGAUGGUGGUGAAUUGCUAGUGUGUAUUUGAAGUGGGAAGGGAAAUCAGUAAGUUUGGGGCAGGAGUGCAAAGGGAGGAUGGCAGCCACAGAAAGGGCACUGGGAAGAGUUCUUGGCUUUCAUCAGUGGUCCCUGGGAUGGAGAGAGAUGGAGAAGCUCUAUCUCAGUUUAGUUCUAAACUAAAGAGACAUAGAGAAGCUCUGGAUGGAGAACAGGUAGUUUAGUUCUCCUGACUUUUAAAAGUUAUUCUUUCCCUUGUUAAUCUUCUCAGCCAUGAUGAUGUUGCUUAAAGGAGCUUUAUCUCUGGGGAGUCAUUACUCACUAUGCCAAUGAAUGUUCAGAUGAACCACAGGCAAGACGGACCCUCAAUAGCUCACACUCUAUUGGGGGGCAGAUGCAGGUCCCCAUCCUAAGUUAGGAUUAAGUUUCUUCCCCUUCUUAUUGUUGGUUCCAGUCACUUUGGAUCUCUCCUAGAAAAUAGACUGAUUAGGGGUGCCUCUGUGGCUCAGUUGGUUAAGCAGACUGACUUGAUUUUGGCUCAGGUUCUGAUUUUGUGCUUCAUG